GUUAACUUUGCUACUGUGCAGAAAUCAGGCAGCUUUAUCAAGCAACAGCAGCGUCUCUGUGAUGCCAUUAAUCUUUAACAGCAUCAGAGGAGAAGACAUCCUCAAUGUCAUGUGAGAAAACUGCACUUUACACUCUGCCAGAGGAGACUGUGACAGCAACACAUGACAAGAACAACACAGCUGCAUUUGGGAGAAGUCACACGAGCUGGUCUGAAAUGUUAACCAAGUGGUUAACCUUCACUGCUCUUCUGGUCGGCUCAGUGAAUCCACAGAGUCGCGGCACUCUGACUGUUGCACCCACCUGCAGGGUCAAAGGUCAACCAGAGGCAGAACUGAUGUUAAACUGUGGAGAUGGAAAGAACGCAGGUGUGGUCCAGUACUGGCACACCCCGUUCGGAGAGCUCCAGACCCCUGGAUUCCACCACAAACUGGACCCAGUCUUCCUGGACCAUGACAGGAGCCUGGUGGUCCCUAACAGCAGUGUUCUGCACAGCGGCCUGUACUACUGCCUCCUGCAGCACACACAGGGAGCUACGCUCUGGCCGUACGAGCUCCACAUUCAUCAUACCAGUCAAAAGAAGCAGGACCACAGAGGGUAUGAGCAGAGCAGCAGCUGUGCUGGGCUCAGGCUCAGUAGGGGUGCAGGGCCUGAGGAGGUGAAGCAGGAAGGUGUUUCAGAUGGGUUGUUUGCAGGAGCUGUGGCAGGAUCGGUGCUGCUCUCGUUUGUGGUGGGUUUCAGCACUGGAGCUCUGACAAGGACUCAUGUUCUCAGGUGUUUACAGGUUGUCACCAUGAGGCUGCGGUCACCACGGCAACAACGGUGCCAAAUCGACACACAAGACCAUCGGCCUGACGUUACCAUGACAACCACGUUGCCCAUGUACGACAACCAGGCCUUCGAGAUAGGACGAGCGCAGGAUGACGUCUCUGUGAGUCGUUUAUCUCCCCCUGCAAAACCUCAGAGAAGCUUCAGACACAAACAAGAGCAGCAGGGACCCACAGCGUAUCUGGAGGGAUGUGGCUGCACAGCAGAGGAGGAGAGAAGAACAGAGGAGGAGGUGCCAGGAACAAGUCUGGAGCAAAAGAAUAAAGAGUGUGACAGGGAGGCAGAGGAGCAGAAAAUAUUUUAUCUAUUAGGAGGAGAUGGAGGGAGUCAAUUGGACAGUGAUGAGAAAGGUGGAAGAGGGAGCAUGGAUGAAAAGCAGGAGAGGAGACAGAAUGGAGAGGAGGCAGGUGAGGAGGAGAGGAGAGGAAGUGAUGAAGAGGAGAAAAGAGGUGACAAGGAGAAAGAGGAAGAUGAUCGAGAAAAGAACAGGGAGGAAGACGUUUGCAGCGACUCCACAGAAACCGAUGACGAUGAGACAGAAAAUCAGGACACGAUGGAAAAUGAAGCACCGCCCUCUCCGCCCCGACCAGUCCGCCGCAGCCGCGUCAUCCGCCUGUACCAGUACGACGAAGACGGCCAGCGAUACAGUCACCUCCCAGACGCCUCCCCUGACGAUCCAGGCCCCGCCCCCAGGCUUAGGCAGCGGUCCCUGUCACUGACACGCCUCAACGCCAUCAUGGCUGCCGUCUCAGCAGGCCCGCUGGACCGGAGAGAGACAGGGAAGGAGGAGAGGCCACACUUCCACAUGGAGAUAUAA
ensembl:lncRNA uncharacterized LOC113122203